UACGGAGGGGGCUAGCGUUGUUCGGAAUUACUGGGCGUAAAGCGCACGUAGGCGGCGAUUUAAGUCAGAGGUGAAAGCCCGGGGCUCAACCCCGGAAUAGCCUUUGAGACUGGAUUGCUAGAAUCUUGGAGAGGCGAGUGGAAUUCCGAGUGUAGAGGUGAAAUUCGUAGAUAUUGGGUAGAACACCGGUGGCGAAGGCGGCUCACUGGCCCGUUUCUGACGCUCAUGCACGACAGCGUGGGGAUCAAACAGG
rnacentral:rRNA from 1 species